rnacentral:rRNA from 1 species
CCUACGGGGGGCAGCAGUGGGGAAUAUUGGACAAUGGGGGCAACCCUGAUCCAGCCAUGCCGCGUGUGUGAAGAAGGCCCUCGGGUUGUAAAGCACUUUCAGUGAGGAAGAACGCCUGGUGGUUAAUACCCAUCAGGAAAGACAUCACUCACAGAAGAAGCACCGGCUAACUCCGUGCCAGCAGCCGCGGUAAUACGGAGGGUGCGAGUGUUAAUCGGAAUUACUGGGCGUAAAGCGCGCGUAGGUGGCUUGAUAAGCCGGUUGUGAAAGCCCCGGGCUCAACCUGGGAACGGCAUCCGGAACUGUCAAGCUAGAGUGCAGGAGAGGAAGGUAGAAUUCCCGGUGUAGCGGUGAAAUGCGUAGAGAUCGGGAGGAAUACCAGUGGCGAAGGCGGCCUUCUGGACUGACACUGACACUGAGGUGCGAAAGCGUGGGUAGCAAACAGGAUUAGAUACCCGAGUAGUC